rnacentral:RNase_P_RNA from 1 species
AAAGUCCGGACUCCACAGGGCACGGAUGUUGCUAACAGCAACCCAGGGCGACCUGAGGGCACGUGCAACAGAAAGUAGACCGCCUGUAGACGCAAUAUCUGCAGGUAAGGGUGAAAGGGUGUGGUAAAAGCGCACCAGCACUGCAGGUGACUGUGGUGGCUAGGUAAACCCUUCCGGGAGCAAGGCAUGAUGGCGCACCGUUGCUUUGGUGCGCCGGCGCGGGCGUUUGAGGGCUGCUCGUCCAAGUCCGCGGGUAAGCCGCGUGAGGCUGCCAGCGAUGGCAGCCCAAGAUAGAUGAUUACCUCCCAUGCCAGGGGAGACCCCGCAUGGCAGACAAAAUCCGGCUUAUAGGCCGGCUCAUUCG